rnacentral:rRNA from 1 species
GGCCUAUUGAAGAUAAUUUUAGGUCUGGCCUGCCCACUGAUAAAAUUAAAGGGCCGCAGUAAAUUGACUGUGCUAAGGUAGCAUAAUCAUUAGUUUCUUAAUUAGGAACUGGAAUGAAAGGUUUGAUAGGAAAAUAACUGUCUCUUAUUAAUUUUGAUGAAAUUUAUAUUUAAGUAAAAAAGCUUAAAUUUUUUUAAAAGACGAGAAGACCCUAUAGAGUUUAAUAUAAUUUAUAUUAGAAAUUUUUUAUAAAUAUAAUUUUUUAAAGUAGAUUAUAUUUAGUUGGGGUGAUAGAAAAAUUAGAAUAACUUUUUUUAUUAAUUACAUUUAUUUAUGAGUUGAUGAUCCAUGGAUUUUGAUUAUAAGAAUAAAUUACCUUAGGGAUAACAGCGUAAUUUUUUUUGAAAGUUCUUAUUGAUAAAGAAGAUUGCGACCUCGAUGUUGGAUUAAAAUUAAAGUUUGGUGUAGGAGCUAAAUUAUUAGGUCUGUUCGACCUUUAAAAUUUUACAUGA